CCUACGGGCGGCAGCAGUGAGGAAUAUUGGUCAAUGGACGAGAGUCUGAACCAGCCAAGUCGCGUGAAGGAUGACUGCCCUAUGGGUUGUAAACUUCUUUUAUAUGGGAAUAAAAUGUUCCACGUGUGGGUUUUUGUAUUUACCAUAUGAAUAAGGUUCGGCUAACUCCGUGCCAGCAGCCGCGGUAAUACGGAGGGUCCGAGCGUUAUCCGGAUUUACUGGGUUUAAAGGGAGCGUAGGUGGAUUGUUAAGUCAGUUGUGAAAGGUUGCGGCUCAACCUUAGAAUUGCAGUUGAAACUGGCAGUCUUGAGUACGGUAGAGGUGGGCGGAAUUCGUGGUGUAGCGGUGAAAUGCUUAGAUAUCACGAAGAACUCCGAUUGCGAAGGCAGCUCACUGGACUGCAACUGACGCUGAGGCACGAAAGUGUGGGUAUCAAACAGGAUUAGAUACCCGAGUAGUC
rnacentral:rRNA from 1 species